UACGAAGGGGGCUAGCGUUGCUCGGAAUCACUGGGCGUAAAGAGCUCGUAGGCGGUUUGUCGCGUCUGCCGUGAAAGUCCGGGGCUCAACUCCGGAUCUGCGGUGGGUACGGGCAGACUAGAGUGAUGUAGGGGAGACUGGAAUUCCUGGUGUAGCGGUGAAAUGCGCAGAUAUCAGGAGGAACACCGGUGGCGAAGGCGGAUCUCUGGGCCGAUACUGACGCUGAGGAGCGAAAGCGUGGGGAGCGAACAGG
rnacentral:rRNA from 1 species